rnacentral:rRNA from 1 species
CUACGGGAUGCAGCAGUGAGGAAUAUUGCACAAUGGGGGGAACCCUGAUGCAGCAACGCCGCGUGGAGGAUGACGCAUUUCGGUGUGUAAACUCCUUUUAUAUGUCAAGAAAAUGACGGUAGCAUAUGAAUAAGCACCGGCUAACUCCGUGCCAGCAGCCGCGGUAAUACGGAGGGUGCAAGCGUUACUCGGAAUCACUGGGCGUAAAGGACGCGUAGGCGGGUUGGAAAGUCAGGUGUGAAAUCCUACAGCUUAACUGUAGAACUGCACUUGAAACUUCUAAUCUAGAGUAUGGGAGGGGGAGAUGGAAUUAGUGGUGUAGGGGUAAAAUCCGUAGAUGUCACUAGGAAUACCUAAAGCGAAGGCGAUCUCCUGGAACAUUACUGACGCUAAGGCGUGAAAGCGUGGGGAGCGAACAGGAUUAGAUACCCGAGUAGUC